rnacentral:rRNA from 1 species
CACGGGUGAGUAACACGUAUCCAACCUGCCGUCUACUCUUGGACAGCCUUCUGAAAGGAAGAUUAAUACAAGAUGGCAUCAUGAGUCCGCAUGUUCACAUGAUUAAAGGUAUUCCGGUAGACGAUGGGGAUGCGUUCCAUUAGAUAGUAGGCGGGGUAACGGCCCACCUAGUCAACGAUGGAUAGGGGUUCUGAGAGGAAGGUCCCCCACAUUGGAACUGAGACACGGUCCAA